GUGGGGAAUAUUGCACAAUGGGGGAAACCCUGAUGCAGCGACGCCGCGUGAGUGAAGAAGUAUUUCGGUACGUAAAGCUCUAUCAGCAAGGAAGAAAAUGACGGUACUUGACUAAGAAGCCCCGGCUAACUACGUGCCAGCAGCCGCGGUAAUACGUAGGGGGCAAGCGUUAUCCGGAUUUACUGGGUGUAAAGGGAGCGUAGACGGUAUGGUAAGUCAGAUGUGAAAGCCCGGGGCUCAACCCCGGGACUGCAUUUGAAACUAUCAGACUGGAGUGCAGGAGAGGUAAGUGGAAUUCCUAGUGUAGCGGUGAAAUGCGUAGAUAUUAGGAGGAACACCAGUGGCGAAGGCGGCUUACUGGACUGUAACUGACGUUGAGGCUCGAAAGCGUGGGGAGCAAACAGGAUUAGAUACCCGGGUAGUCC
rnacentral:rRNA from 1 species